GUCUUGCUGAUAAUAAUUACAAGUCUGACCUGCUCUAUGAAUAUUUUAAAUGGCCGCAGUACUUUGACUGUGCAAAGGUAGCAUAAUCACUAGUUUUUUAAUUGAGAGCUUGUAUGAAAGGUUUGAUAAAAAAUUUUCUGUCUCUAUAAAAUUUCAUUAGAAUUUUAUUUUUAAGUUAAAAAGCUUAAAUAAUUGUUGAAGACGAGAAGACCCUAUAGAGUUUUAUAUUAUUAUAAAAAUAAUAUGUUUAAGGAGAGAAAAUUGUAUUUUUAUAUUAGUAUUUUGUUGGGGUGAUAAAAAAAUUGGUCUAACUUUUUUUUAAUUAGAACAUUAAUUUGUGAUUAUUUGAUCCUUUAUUUAAGAUAAAAAGAAAAAAUUACCUUAGGGAUAACAGCGUAAUUUUCUUUAAAGUUCUUAUUAAAAAGAAAGAUUGCGACCUCGAUGUUGGAUUAAAAUAUAUUGUUGGUGAAGUAGCUAGCUAAAUUAGGUCUGUUCGACCUUUAAAAUUUUACAUGAUCUGAGUUUAAACCGGCGUAAG
rnacentral:rRNA from 1 species